UAUAAAUUUUCAAAUCAGUCAUUCGAUAUGUUUCAGUAGUUUUCCUAUAAUUGCAGUAAAAAUUGUAAUUUCUUUUUAUUUACUAAAACAGGAACACCUCCAGCUUUGGGAUGUAAUCGACCGCCACUCUGUCCUAUAACCGACUACGCAAACGACAGACCAUGUACUGGUUGUGAACCACAGGAGGAUGAUGGACUAUGUUGUGCAACAUGUAACACAUGUAGAUAGUGAUAAAAUAAAGAAUUAAAAUCUUGA